rfam:Triticum aestivum genome assembly, contig: Triticum_aestivum_CS42_TGACv1_scaffold_221164_3B
GAUGUACUCCCUCUGUCCGGAAAUACUCGUCGGAGAAAUGGAUAAAAAUGGAUGCAUCUAGAACUAAAAUAUGUCUGGACACAUUCAUUUCUCCGACGAGUAUUUCCGGACGGAGGGAGUAGUAA